rnacentral:tRNA from 1 species
UAGCUCAGUCGGUUAGAGCGUGGUGCUGCUAACACCAAGGCUGUGGGUUCGAUCCCUGC